rnacentral:rRNA from 1 species
AGAUUGAACGCUGGCGGCAGGCCUAACACAUGCAAGUCGAGCGGUAGAGAGGUGCUUGCAUCUCUUGAGAGCGGCGGACGGGUGAGUAAUGCCUAGGAAUCUGCCUAGUGGUGGGGGAUAACGUUCGGAAACGGACGCUAAUACCGCAUACGUCCUACGGGAGAAAGCGGGGGACCUUCGGGCCUCGCGCCAUUAGAUGAGCCUAGGUCGGAUUAGCUAGUUGGUGAGGUAAUGGCUCACCAAAGGCGACGAUCCGUAACUGGUCUGAGAGGAUGAUCAGUCACACUGGAACUGAGACACGGUCCAGACUCCUACGGGAGGCAGCAGUGGGGAAUAGUUGGACAAUGGGCAAAGCCUGAUCAGCCAUGCCGCGUGUGUGAAGAAGGUCUUCGGAUUGUAAAGCACUUUAAGUUGGAAGGAAGGUUGUAACCUAAUACGUUGACAACUUUGAACGUUACCGACAGAAUAAGCACCGCUAACUUCGACGCAGCAGCCGACG